GGUAGCGUGGCCGAGCGGUCUAAGGCGCUGGAUUAAAACUCCAGUUUCUUCGGGGUGUGGGUUCGAAUCCCCACCGCUGCCA